GGAGAGGUGUCCGAGCGGUCGAAGGAGCACGCCUGGAAAGUGUGUAUGGGGUUAAAAGCUCCAUCGAGGGUUCGAAUCCCUCCCUCUCCGCCA
rnacentral:tRNA from 1 species